rnacentral:rRNA from 1 species
GAAUAUUGCGCAAUGGGGGAAACCCUGACGCAGCAACGCCGCGUGGAGGAUGAAGGCCUUCGGGUCGUAAACUCCUGUCAGGUGGGAAGAAUAGGUUGCAACUAAGAAUUGCAACUGUUGCCGGUACCACCAGAGGAAGCCCCGCCUAACGCCGUGCCAGCAGCCGCGGUAAUACGGAGGGGGCAAGCGUUAUUCGGAAUCAUUGGGCGUAAAGGGCGCGUAGGCGGCCUGGCAAGUCAAAGGUGAAAUCCCUCGGCCCAACCGAGGAACCGCCUUUGAAACUGCAAGGCUCGAGGCCGGGAGAGGGUAGCGGAAUUCCCAGUGUAGCGGUGAAAUGCGUAGAUAUUGGGAGGAACACCAGUGGCGAAGGCGGCUACCUGGACCGGUUCUGACGCUGAGGCGCGAAAGCGUGGGGAGCAAACAG